rnacentral:rRNA from 1 species
GACGAACGCUGGCGGCGUGCUUAACACAUGCAAGUCGAACGCUGAAGCUCAGCUUUUGUUGGGUGGAUGAGUGGCGAACGGGUGAGUAACACGUGAGUAACCUGCCCCCUUCUUUGGGAUAACGCCCGGAAACGGGUGCUAAUACUGGAUAUUCACUGGUCUUCGCAUGGGGGGUGGUGGAAAGGGUUUUUCUGGUGGGGGAUGGGCUCGCGGCCUAUCAGCUUGUUGGUGGGGUGAUGGCCUACCAAGGCUUUGACGGGUAGCCGGACUGAGAGGGUGCCCGGUCACAUUGGGACUGAGAUACGGCCCAGACUACUACGGGAGGCAGCAGUGGGGAAUAUUGCACAAUGGGCGCAAGCCUGAUGCAGCGACGCCGCGUGAGGGAUGGCGGCCUUCGGGUUGUGAACCUCUUUCGCUAAUGGUCAAGCCGCAACAAUGGUUGUGGUGAGGGUAGUGGGUAAAGAAGCGCCGGCUAACUACGUG